rnacentral:rRNA from 1 species
CAGCGCCAUGAGUGGCAAUCAUAAUUAUUGGGCCUAAAGCGUCCGUAGCCUGUUUGGUCUGUCUUUUGUGAAAUCGUUUGGCUUAACCUAACGGUAUGCAAAAGAUACUGCCAGACUUGGAACCGGGAGGGGUCAGAGGUAUUCAUGGGGGAGCGGUAAAAUGCUAUAAUCCCUUGAAGACCACCUGUGGCGAAGGCAUCUGACUAGAACGGCUUCGACGGUGAGGGACGAAAGCUAGGGGAGCAAACCGGAUUAGAUACCCGAGUAGUCC